ACGUUCAUAAAAAUGCAAAGUGAUUUGAUAUCAGCCAACUCAAAUGCUGCGUUUCCAUUUGUAAAUUCUUCCAUUAUUACCCGUUUAGACAAAAUGGAUCUGUAGCACUUGCGCAGUAAUCUGCAUGUCUGUAAAAAGCCACUUGCUGGGCUAGAAAGAGAAGGGAAGCCUCUGCUAACGAAAGAUAACGAAUUAGCUAGUUCAAUAAAAGCGUUGUACAGUCAUUUAGCUAGCUAUUUUAAUAUAUGAUUAAAUAAACGACAAAGAUAGUGGCGUAAUGUUGUCGCUGUUGGUAAUCUUAGCUUGCAAUGCUAUCGUUAGCUAGCUACCGUUACUUGACUACUAUUUCCAAAGUUGCAAAAUAAGAAGUUAUCAAUCUAACAUUAAUCCUCUACAAUAUAUAUUUGUCUCACAAUAUAUAACGCAGCUGAUGACGAAUAUGCUGCUUUUUGGCAACACCUUCUGUCCAAAGAAUACCCCUUGCAAGUCUGUUUCUGUCUUCAAUCUGCACACCUUGGAUUGGUCUACGAGGGCAAUAGAGUUGGGUCUUGAGUAUGCAGCCCCUGUUAUGAACAUUGGGGGCCAUAGCUUGACAUUUGAAGACGGACAAUGGAUUGCAGUCUGAAGGGAAUGUAUCUGGGAAGGAGGUGCAGAGACUGAAAAAUAGGAACCUACAGCUUGAAAAGGAGAACAACCUACUCAGGCUGAAGAUUGACCUCCUGUUGGACAUCUUGUCAGAAACCACUGCAGAGUCUCACCUGAUGGAGAAGGAGCUGGAAAAGAUGAAGAUUCACAGUUGAAGGAAGAAGUGAUGAAUAGAAAAUUGCAGACAGGUUCCCAGUGAUACCUGAAAAUGAAGAAGGGAAUAGAUAAAGGAUUGUGAGUGUUAGUGACUAAUCAAUUGUAUUUGAUUUAUUUUAGCUUUAUUUAACCAGGCAAGUCAGUUAAGAACAAAUUCUUAUUUACAAUGAAGGCCUACCCCGGCCAAACCCUAACCCGGAUGACAUUGGGCCAAUUGUGCA